UACGUAGGGUGCAAGCGUUAAUCGGAAUUACUGGGCGUAAAGCGUGCGCAGGCGGCUUUGCAAGACAGAUGUGAAAUCCCCGGGCUUAACCUGGGAAUGGCAUUGAGGACUGCACGGCUAGAGUGUGGGCAGAGGGGGGUGGAAUUCCGCGUGUAGCAGUGAAAUGCGUAGAGAUGCGGAGGAAUACCGAUGGCGAAGGCAGCCCCCUGGGAUAACACUGACGCUCAUGCACGAAAGCGUGGGGAGCAAACAGG
rnacentral:rRNA from 1 species